rnacentral:lncRNA from 1 species
GCAAGUCUUCUCUCUUUUUUUUUUUAACAUUUAUUUAUUUAUUUAUUUAUUUAUUUAUUUAUUUAUUUUUAAAGAUUUAUUUAUUUAUUCAUAGAGACACACACACACACAGAGGCAGAGACACAUGCAGAGGGAGAAGCAGGCUCCAUGCAGAGAGCCCGAUGUGGGACUCGAUCCCCGGAUCUCUAGGAUCACACCCUGGGCCAAAGGCAGGCGCUAAACUGCUGUGCCACCCGGGCUGCCCUGCAAGUCUUCUCUACCCAUUGCAUACUUUAGUUACAAAUUAAAAAACAGCAUAAUCCCAACUGCAUCUUUAAGAGAAGUGCAAAUUCAAUAUGUUAUUACCCAAUACUAGAGGCAGCUGAUAUAUAUGUCUGUCUACCUAUCUGUCAUCUUUUAUUUUCUCCCUCACAUUACAGGAGUAUCAUCUGGAGGCAGGAGUAAAUAUUAUCUGCUGUGUUAAACAGAAAGGUCAUUCAUCAAUCUGAAUAUUUUUGUGGUGGAGGAGAAAUAAUCAUAUCCUGCAGUUCCAACCCAAGAAAAUCCCACACAUUUCUCAGAAGCCUGGGUGUGUGAAGACAGCAUUGAAUGACACGUUCACUCUCAGUUGUCUGCAGGCUUCACUACAAAGGCACUGCUCCCAGGAUAAAAGGAAAAGAUACCUGCCAUACUUCCAAGUGGAAAGUGUGAGGCGUAAGCUAAUUAAUUGUAAGGAUAAGAAGGAUAUCCCAAAGAGCAAGUCUUGUAAGUUUUAUUGGAUACCUCUGGUUUGGAAUUAUUUGUGGUAAGCAGAAUUUUAAGAUGCCUCCCCACCUCCAGACUUCCUGCCCUAAUCUCUGAAUACGUUAAUGUAAUACAUUAUUAUUCCCACAGUUAUGUAUGUACUUAAGGUUGGUGAUCAAUUGACCUUGAGUUAAUCCAAAGGGUAUUUAUCUGGGUAGACCUUAGUCUAAUUACAGGAGCCCUUUAUAAGCAGAGACUUUUCUCUGGUUGGUAGCAGAAGAAGUCAGUGAGAUUCCAAGCCUGAGGUGGACUCAACAUGCCUUGUUACUUUAGAAGAUGGAGGGAGCUAAUUGGCAAGGAUGUGAGUGGACUCUAGAGGCUGAAAGUAGCCUUCCCUUUUACUACCCCCAUCCCACAUCCAGCAAGAAAGCUUCUAUGUCAGUCUUACAACUUUAAGGAAUUGAACUCUGCCAGCAACUUGAAUGUGCUUAGAAGUGAAUUUUUCCCCAGAGGUGCCUGGCGGGUAACUUGAUUUUGGCCUUGUGAGAUCCUAAGCAGAGGAUAUAGUCUGGCCUGCCUAGAGACUGACCUACAGAACUAUGAGCUAAUAAACAGAUGCCAUAAUUGGUUAGGCA